AUACGGAGGGGGCUAGCGUUGUUCGGAAUCACUGGGCGUAAAGCGCACGUAGGCUGUUGUUCAAGUUGGGCGUGAAAGCCCGGGGCUCAACCCCGGAAUUGCGCUCAAAACUAGACAGCUAGAGUCCGAGAGAGGUGAGUGGAAUUCCCAGUGUAGAGGUGAAAUUCGUAGAUAUUGGGAAGAACACCAGUGGCGAAGGCGGCUCACUGGCCCGGUACUGACGCUGAGGCGCGAAAGCGUGGGGAGCAAACAGGAUUAGAAACCCCGGUAGUCC
rnacentral:rRNA from 1 species